CCUACGGGAGGCAGCAGUGAGGAAUAUUGGUCAAUGGGCGCGAGCCUGAACCAGCCAAGUAGCGUGAAGGAUGACUGCCCUACGGGUUGUAAACUUCUUUUAUAAAGGAAUAAAGUGAGGCACGUGUGCCUUAUUGUAUGUACUUUAUGAAUACGGCUCGGCUAACUCAGUGCCAGCAGCCGCGGUAAUACGGAGGGGCCGAGCGUUAUCCGGAUUUAUUGGGUUUAAAGGGAGCGUAGAUGGGUUGUUAAGUCAGUAGUGAAAGUUUGCGGCUCAAACGUAAAAUUGCAAUUGAUACUGGCAGUCUUGAGUACAGUUGAGGUAGGCGGAAUUCGUGGUGUAGCGGUGAAAUGCUUAGAUAUCACGAAGAACACCGAUUGCGAAGGCAGCUUACUAAACUGCCACUGACAUUGAUGCUCGAAAGUGUGGGUAUCAAACAGGAUUAGAUACCCCUGUAGUC
rnacentral:rRNA from 1 species